AUUGUGUUCCAAUCAGAGCCUGCGACGAUCCCUACGUAGCGGUGGGAGGCGGGGCUUACGCAGAAGGCUCUCCGGCGCUGCGAGUCUGCGCGCAUGUUCUGCAGCGUUUAGUUUUCUUCGCCUUUUCUGCUCGAAAUGGCAUCAGCGGAGGAUGUCGGAGCGAAAAAGCAAAUGUUUUAUGAAAUCGAGUGCGUAAUAGAAGAUUGCGAUACUGAAGUUGGAUACAAACCUCUGUCAGACAGCGACGAGCUCGACGAUUCGGCGGCGGAGGAGGAACCGCGAGAAGAAGAUAUUGAUUCUUCUGAAGAAUGGGAGCCUCGCAGGCGCUCAAAACUAAAGAGGAACUCAUCCUCCUCGCCUUCAUCGUCUUUACCACGCCGGAGAGGGCGGCCACCUAAAAAUGCUUUGAAACCCUCCCCAGCAGCACCAGCGAUGGCCCGCACGCCUAAAAACACCCCAGCCGUCUCCUUACCUCGACAGGGAGGCAGACCGUCUAAGGACAAAUCAAAAGCCAAACUCUUUCCUAAACCCACCCCAUAUGCCACAAUCGUGCCUAAACCCCCCCCUUAUGCCACGCUGAUCCCUAAUUCCUCCAUUAAAUUCGGCCCUCAUUCCACAUCUACCAUUACGCUUAACCCUAAUUUCACUCCUAUAACCCUUACCAAUGCCUCAUCCUCCAUUAAACUGAACCCUAAUUCUGCACCCAUACUCAUCUCUAAUCCCGCUUCCACUUUUAAACUUAGCCCGAAUUCCACACCCGCCUCCAAUCAGGCACCGAUAGCCACACUCAUCUGUACACCCACAUCAACGGGGCUUCUGUUAGAUGGCAACACCAAUGAGAUCAAGUCAGUGAAGGAAGAGGAACCAAAUAAGAAUGUGGAUGCUAUUGAAGAAUGGCCUUUUACAAGGGAAGAAAGUCAAGAGGAUUCAGAAUCAUCAAAUGCAAAGAGGCAACGACUCUAACUCCCGAUCCCUCAAUCCACAACACCUCUACGGACAGACGGGCCCUUGAAGCACACCUCAAAAACUACCCAUAGUCCCCUGCCUGAACUUGCACCCAUAGCCACUUCUGAUCAUGUACCCACCUCUCAACCCACAACCACUGAUGAACCACUGACCUCAGUACCCACCACUGAACCCACAUCUGAUCCCAAACCUAAUCCUGCACCCACCAGGCCUCGGGCUGACAGCGACCUUGAUGGCGACAGCAAUGAGAUCAGUGAUUCGGGGAGGGAAGAGGAACUGUGGGAAGAAGAUCUUGAUUCUGGUGAUGACUGGAACCCUCUUCUGGAAAGUCCGGAUCGUUCAAAAUCACCUGCAUCAGCUCAGUCACCAAGAGGAGGCAACCCCCCUACAACCACAUCAUCAGGACCGAUAGACAAACUCUCUCUAUCCACGUCUGAACCUGCUCCUGAAGCCACUCCUACACCCACAUCUGAAGCCAUUCCCACAACCAACCACAAUUCCACUCCCACACCUACCCCUAAUCGAGCACCCACUUUACCACGCCGAAGAGGCCGGCCAUGAAAGCAUGCUUUAAAACUCAACCUCUCACCUAAACCAACUCCUGAUCGCUCUACAGCUAUCACUAAUUCGUUACCAGCAGCUGAUUCCACUCCUGUAAUCAUCUCUGAUCCCUCCGCUGAUGCCAUCCCUGCGUCAAGUUUAGAUCCCGCUCCCAAUCCCGCCAUCUCCACCAAUUCUGAACACAAUCCCGAACCUACUUCCACUUCUGAAGCUAUGCCGCAACCCACUUUGACCGAAGAGAAUCGAAGCUCGUUGCAACUACUUAUUCACCAAGGCAAGCCAGAAGCAGGUUGUCUUCAGCUUUGGAUUCACCUUGGAUGAAAAUUGAGUGUAAGCCAGAUAAGUGGCUUGACAUCAGCAAUGAGGAUGAGGAACCGGUACUACCGAAUUUCUCUCCCAAGAGACCUCCAGGUCUGCAUCUCACAGCGGACGCAAUGUAUACGCCCUUACAGUUGUUCCAACUCUUUUUCACCAACUCUGCAGUCAAGACAAUAGUCCGAAACACUAAUAGCAAUGCCGAAAAGAGGGUGAAAGCUGGAAAGAAGUUCGUCUGGGUACCUCUAACCGUAGCCGAGUUCUACUCGUAUGUGACGUUAGUUGUCUACAUGGGGCUGGUGAAGGCGAAGUCAAUAGCGGACUACUGGGCAAGAAAACAAAUGUACAAUUCUCGUACCCGCAGUCCAUCAUUUCCCAAGCAAGAUUUCAGGCCAUCUCCUGGAAUCUUUACCUCUGUGAUCUUCAGGAGGACGAGGAGAACAACAAGAAGAAAGGCACCGCAAGUUAUGACCGACUGCUCAAAAUCAAGCCUCUGUACACGGAUGUUCUUUCGGCGUGUAGGAAACACUUUCACCCCAACAGAGAGAUUCUGGUGGAUGAGAGAAUGGUCACUACCAAAGCUAGGAUUAGACUUAAGCGAUAUAUGAAUGACAAACAAACUAAAUGUGGCUACAAACUUCGUUCUUGCCGAUUCGUCCUGCGGGUACACCUGGAAUUUCUUUGUAUACGAAGGAAAGACUUCAACGUCGUCAGGUAAAGGUGCCGGGUACGAUUAGGUAAUGAGACUACUGGAUCACAAGGUCCUCGGCAAGGGUUAUAGGUUAUACAUGGACAAUUUCUACACCAGCCCAACUCUUUUCUUGGAUUUGUUGCAGAACAGCAUCCUCGCUUGUGGCACAUUGCGCCAUACUUCCAGUUUACCGAAGGCCAACGACCUGAGUGGAAGAUCUGAGUUAGGAUCCAUCCGUUGGUAUCGGCAAGGUCCUCUUCUGUUCGUCAAAUGGAUGGACGCGAGAGAAGUCCUCAUGUGUUCCUCAGUUCACAAGGCGUUUACUGGGGAUACGGUCACCAGGAAUGCCAAGGGUUCCGAUGGGGUUUGGAGAACAUGUCUAAUUCCUGUUCCAUCUGCUGUGAAGGACUAUAGCAAAUACAUGGGAGGUGUUGAUUUCUCGGAUUCCCUCACAAAGUAUUAUAAUGUCCUCCACAAAACCACAAAAUGGUACAAGACCUUCUUCUUCCAUUUUCUUGACAUCGCAGUGGUCAAUCCUUCACCAAGAAUUGGCGAAAGCUCAGAACAAGGUCCCACUCAGCCAAAAAUUGUUUAGGGAAACCCUUGUUUCAGAACUUGCACGUGCCGGCAGAGGUAAGAAUCCUUCUUCGUCUGCUGCCAAAGAUCCCUCAACAUCCGCCACGCCGGUCUCCAUAAGUAUGUCAGCACAGGUGCCUUCAACCCCUAAUGAAACGAAUGCAUAUUCGCCGUCCGACACGGAGUCGUCUCCCCCAGCCUCGCCCGCCCAGACGGAGCAAUGCUAUCCUGAGUAUUUCAGUUCUGAUGCUACGCAUGGGAGGCGAGUUUGUGUCAUGUGCAAACUGCAGGGAAGUAAAGUCAAGACUCCCAUAUACUGCUCCCACUUCAAGGUGGCAUUGUGCUUUGUGUCGUCACGUAACUGCUUCAAGAAAUGGCACAUAGAUUAUCACCUGGAAGAUUUGUAGAUACGUUGCAUGUUUGGAUUUUUUGGGGGCCUUUUAUUUUUUGUAUGAACUUGUUAAUUGUAUAGUUAUGACUCUAUUAAAUACAACUACAAUUGAUAUAGUCUCUUGUUUUCUGUUUGCAACUUUGCGUACAUUUUUAUCAGGUGCUUUUUCUACCAAAAGGGCACUGCUGAAAUCCAGUAUUCAUCAUCAAAAGAAAUGUUUACUUGAAGUGUGUUUUCUUUGUAUGUUAAAAUACAUAGUGGUAUCCCAGUCCAAACUGAUCUACUGUAAGCAUGAUGUUUCCCCCGUAAAGUGUAACAUGGUGGUGUUAUCAAAUAAUUGAUCAAUUUGAGGUUGAGAACAAUCAUUCUUUUUGCAAUUGUGUUUGGUGGCAUUAGUGGCACAAAAAUUACAGUAUUCUAACUGUAGGUUAGACUUAAUUGUAGCUAAAGCACACAUGAUGACAGAAUACAUUGUAUUAU